GCACGGUGGCGCAGUUGGUAGCACUAUUGCCUUGCAACAAGUAGGUCCUGGGUUCGACUCCUGGCAAGGUGCA